UACGUAGGGUGCAAGCGUUAAUCGGAAUUACUGGGCGUAAAGGGCGAGUAGGUGGCCAUCUAAGUCAGACGUGAAAUCCCCCGGCUUAACCUGGGAACUGCGUCUGAUACUGGACGGCUUGAGUAUGGGAGAGGAACGUAGAAUUCCAGGUGUAGCGGUGAAAUGCGUAGAUAUCUGGAGGAAUACCGGUGGCGAAGGCGGCGUUCUGGACCAUUACUGACACUGAAUCGCGAAAGCUAGGGGAGCAAACGGG
rnacentral:rRNA from 1 species